AUUGAACGCUGGCGGCAGGCCUAACACAUGCAAGUCGAACGAGUGGCGGAAGGGUGAGUAAUUUCUGGGAAACUGCCUGAUGGAUGGGGAUAACUACUGGAAACGGUAGCUACUACCUCAUACCAUCGGAUGUUCCCAGUUGGGAUUAGCUAGUUGGUGGGGUAACGGCGCACCAAGGCGACGAUCCCUAGCUGGUCUGAGAGGAGGACCCGCCACACUGGAACUUAGACACGGUCCAGACGCCUACGGGAGGCAGCAGUGGGGAAUAUUGCACAAUGGGCGCAAGCCUGAUGCAGCCAUGCCGCGUGUAUGAAGAAGGCCUUCGGGUUGUAAAGUACUUUCAGCGGGGAGGCGUUACCCGCAGAAGAAGCACCGGCUAACUCCGUGCCAGCAGCCGCGGUAAUAC
rnacentral:rRNA from 1 species